rnacentral:rRNA from 1 species
CACGGGGGGAGCAAGCGUUGUUCGGAAUCACUGGGCGUAAAGGGUGUCUAGGCGGUCAGGUAAGUGAGAUGUGAAAUGCCCCGGCUUACCCGGGGACCUGCAUCUCAUACUGCCUGGCUUGAGUAUGGGAGAGGAUGAGGGAAUUCCUGGUGUAGCGGUGAAAUGCGCAGAUAUCAGGAGGAACACCGGUGGCGAAGGCGGAUCUCUGGGCCUUACCUGACGCUCGAGGCGCGAAAGCUAGGGGAGCGAACAGG